rnacentral:lncRNA from 10 species
UGAUUCUCCACCCUUGCACAGUGGGGCUGGCUUCUCCAUGCCAGUGUAAAUGUACGUACAAAGAAUGCAUCAGAUUAGUUUCUAUGCCCAAGAAAGUAAUGUCACCCUUGUCUUGGGCUCUAAUUGCAAGAACAGCUGAGCUGGAGCAGAUCCUGGUGACCAUUUGUUGCCAAGUCCAGGAUUACACAGUGGACAAGAGGAGUUUUCUAGGACUACACUAAAAUGAGUAUAGUUAGGGUGAGGAUUUCAGGACCAUGGAACUAGAAGGAACUUUAUUCUAAACCUCAGGCUUGAAAUUCAAAACCAGAGUUUUUACUCUUGCCUGUUAGAUGUCAAUCAGAGCUUAGUUCAGCCUGAGUGCUCCUGCACAAGUCUUCAGUGUUCCUCUAUGGAUUUAUGAUUGUCUGGCCUCUCCAUCACCCCUCUGGAGUGGGAAAUAAGUGAAAGUGGCAUGGAAGGAGGUAUGAUUUGGGCAGAGAGAAAAAUCAGCCUCUUCACGGUCCUGACCUGUUUUUCAAACCCUGAGUCAAGAAUCC